rnacentral:rRNA from 1 species
AGUGAACGCUGGCGGUAGGCCUAACACAUGCAAGUCGAACGGCAGCACAGUAAGAGCUUGCUCUUACGGGUGGCGCGUGGCGGACGGGUGUGGAAUACAUCGGAAUCUACUUUUUCGUGGGGUAUAACGUAGGGAAACUUACGCUAAUACCGCAUACGACCUACGGGUGAAAGCAGGGGAUCUUCGGACCUUGCGCGAUUGAAUGCGCCGAUGUCGGAUUAGCUAGUUGGCGGGGUAAAGGCCCACCAAGGCGACGAUCCGUAGCUGGUCUGAGAGGAUGAUCAGCCACACUGGAACUGAGACACGGUCCAGACUCCUACGGGAGGCAGCAGUGGGGAAUAUUGGACAAUGGGCGCAAGCCUGAUCCAGCCAUACCGCGUGGGUGAAGAAGGACUUCGGGUUGUAAAGCCCUUUUGUUGGGAAAGAAAAGCAGCAGGUUAAUACCCCGCUGUUCUGACGGUACCCAAAGAAUAAGCACCGGCUAACUUCGUG